ACACACUUCUUCACAGGUCUACACACCUGAAGAUCUCAUUAAUAUUAUAGACAAUGUUGUUAUAGAAGAACUCUGCAGUUAAGUAUGCUUGGCCGAGAGUAGUAAUAGGAUGAGUGACCUCCUGAGAAAACCUCGUGUUGUACCUC